CUACGGGCGGCUGCAGUGGGGAAUAUUGCACAAUGGGCGCAAGCCUGAUGCAGCCAUGCCGCGUGUAUGAAGAAGGCCUUCGGGUUGUAAAGUACCUUCAGCGGGGAGGAAGGGAGUAAAGUUAAUACCUUUGCUCAUUGACGUUACCCGCAGAAGAAGCACCGGCUAACUCCGUGCCAGCAGCCGCGGUAAUACGGAGGGUGCAAGCGUUAAUCGGAAUUACUGGGCGUAAAGCGCACGCAGGCGGUUUGUUAAGUCAGAUGUGAAACCCCCGGGCUCAACCUGGGAACUGCAUCUGAUACUGGCAAGCUUGAGUCUCGUAGAGGGGGGUAGAAUUCCAGGUGUAGCGGUGAAAUGCGUAGAGAUCUGGAGGAAUACCGGUGGCGAAGGCGGCCCCCUGGACGAAGACUGACGCUCAGGUGCGAAAGCGUGGGGAGCAAACAGGAUUAGAUACCCUUGUAGUC
rnacentral:rRNA from 1 species